AUUAGAUUUAACUUAGCAACGGUUGGCACGGCUCACUCAGUUGUUCUUAUCUGUUGGGGUUUAGGAUAUUGCUUUGUGAAAAUGAAGACUAAAAUAUCCACUCUGCGAAUCACCGUACUCGGGUCUGCAAAUGUAGGCAAAUCAGCUAUAACGGUACGUUUCCUGACCAAACGAUUCAUCGGUGAAUAUAGUUCAAUGACGGACCAUACCUAUCGUACAACAUGGAAUGUUAAAGAUGAUUGUAUCAAUAUGGAGAUCAGAGAUACGUCACCAAACACGGUAAACGACAAUGAGCCAGAUAUUACGCGAGGGGAUGCCAGUGCCUUUGUAGUGGUGUACAAUGUAGCAGACGGCCAAUCUUUCUAUCAUGCGAAAUACCAAAUAGAAAGGCUAAGAAGAAAUAAAAAAACAUCUAACAUUCCCAUCUUGCUGUUAGGCAACAAAACCGAUCUAGAACACCUACGUGACGUCCGCAUAAACGAGGUCCGUCAGACGGCACUCUGUUUUAACUGUAAACUUUACGAAGUUUCAGCAGCAGAAGACUAUCAAGCAAUAAAUGUUGCUUUUCGAGAACUCAUUGCUCAAGCUUUCAUUGUCGAUAACCAGUACUCAAAACCUGUGAAAAGACGACGAAGCAUAUUAGGCAAUGUUUCUAAACGAAUUAGUUCUGUUUUUAAACGAAAAAGUCUUGAGGAUCUCAUCUUCAAACGCCGUUCAGUCAUUCCACUGCAAACAAGACGUUCCAUAUGAAUUACCGUCAUUUUACCCUUGAACGUAAAAUUGAGGCAAAAAAUAAAGAAAGAAAAAUAAUAUUUUGCACGUGUGAUGUUGGGGAAUUGACAUUUUAAUGAAUAAUGAAAUGAUUGUUGAUGUUGGGGGCAUGGUAUGUUAACACGGAUGGCUGAGCAUGAUGGUUAAUUGUGAAAAUGUAUAAUAUAUUUGGAGAUCCAACAACCAAUAACAACUGGCACCCUUAAUUAUUCUCAUCUGGGCACAAGUGUUGUUUCAGCUAUGUAAAUGCCUGCUACCUAACGCUUGGUGUUGACAAAACCUAUGUAUCUAGGACAAGACUUUUCUAUACAUUGUGAAGCAUAAUUUUUGGUUUUAGUGGUAUUUCAAACCUCUUUAACAACAUGCAUUUUGUAAUUUUCGUAUCAGCUAAUGCUUUUAUAGAUGGUUAGUGGACCAAUAUCACUGUCAUCAUGUUUAGAAUUUUUGGUGUAUAGAAUUUAAGAAAUUUGUUGUUAUAAGGUUAAUUUCUAUGUCACUAUACUUAUGUUGCAUGAUUUAGCCAAAAUACACAUUGGGUCGCCUGCACUCAAUCGCAGCAGUAUUGGAUUAACCAUGAAAAGUAAACUAGCUGUUUCGAUGUACUUUUCGUAACUUUAAUAGAUAUAAUGUACUGAACCAACGCAUUAAUAACAAUACGUCCCGGACCUCAUCAGAAUCAAUCACAGUUCCUCGAAGAAUUUUUCGGCUAAUGACUACAUAGAUAUAAAAACUACAUUAUUUAUAAUAAACCGGCACCCAUGUUUCAGCGAUGUUUUGGUCGUUGAUACAGUCGCAUUCUGAAUAUUAGACAUACACACAUUUCCGAUUACUCAAUAUUUGUCUAUUUAAUUAUGUUUGCAGCUCAUAUGAUUGUUAUUUUUUUUAUUAUUAUUGUUUUGUAACAAGUUGAUGUGGACAUUCCGAACAAAAGCGCCCAAUUUUCUCCAGAUGCUAGCUAUGUCCUUGAUCUACCAAUAUCUCAGCUUGAUGUUUAAACAUACAUUUUCAGCGUCAGGGAAUACAAUCAUAUAUGUAACCAUAUAUGUAAAAACCUAUUUUUACGAAUAUCCCAGUUUCUAAACCACUUAGAAUUACAAUCUUAGGGUCUAAACAGGGUCUAUGUUACGGUUUGAUUGACGAAGCAAGGUUUCCGGAAAUGGGAGUUUGUAGAGGGGGUGGGCGGUAUUUCACCGCUUAGGUCCGGAAAUAUUUUCUAAAAGUUGACUGUGGGAAAAAUGAUUUCCCGCCCUCUGGACGGACUUGACAAGUUCAAUUUAUCCCCUCCCAUCCCCUUUUUCAGUUCUACGAUGUCAGGCUGAAUUUUCGGAAAUCGUGACCAAACUGAAAGCUUGCUAGAAGUGGAAUAAAAACUUCCAGAAAAUAACCAAACAAGCCGUUGCCAUGCAAGAUAGGCUGACAGAGAAAAUCGAUAUGGCUAAUUAUCUCAUAGUCCCAAUGCUUUCCAUCGAAUAUGUUUCGCAUUCACAAGGUUUUCGCAAAAGCGGGUACCUCCGGAAAGGAAGGUUGCGGAACUCUAAAUAUGCAGGGAACGUAACCCAAGAAGUUGCGGUAUCAUGCGCACCAAAAUAUAGCUCAUCUAAGAUCUUUUAAUCUUCAAACAUCUGAAUCAUACAAAAAUGUGGUAUAUAUUUCACCUUUUCCUGAAAAGACAGGGUUCAUAACCAAAGAAGUUGUUGUACGAACCGCACAAAAAGCGAACUCAUCCAAGAUCUUUUUUGGAGGGUCUUAUAAUCAUUUGCAUAUCGGAAAUUUUGAAUACCCAAAAUGAUCGUCUUAAUAUAUAUUUGGAGGUAAUGGUUUCUUUUCAUUGUAUUCCUUGACCCUAACAAUGUAGGUUUCGACACCAAGAUUGUGACCCUUCUAAAGUAGGGGUGGUGUUAAAUGUUGAACAUCAACAUUUGUAAAAUAACCCCACCCCUAUCUAAAGUAAUUUAGAAGCUGAGAUAUAGCUACAGGUACAUACAUGUUUUUGCAUAGCGGAAAUCUUGAAAAUUCAAGAUAGCCACCAUAAUAUAUUUUUGGGAAGCGGUGUCUAUCAAGAUUAAAAUUUGGCGAUUUGGUCUGGAACGUCCACAUUCAUCUUAAAUCUGAUCCUAAACUGCCUGACUAAAUAGUUUUUUUUUAUAUAUAUAUUGAAUACGAGAGCUGGCUGAAAAGUUCUAAGCCUGUUUGUGAAAGACCUGUACAAAGUCGAUGGUUUCUAUUUAUUUUUCUCAUCCACCCUAAAAAAAAAAAGGUCGUCCACAGCUGACAUGACGUCAUUAUUACUAGGAAAAUGACGACCGGCUAGUUCCUUUUUCUUUUUUGAAAACCGGUGGAAGUCUGACGAGGCCAAAUCGGGUAAGCCACAAUCAUGGAUCGCUGACAUGGCAAUCACCGAUUUAUGAACAGGAACAUUGUCUUGGUGGAACAGCGUUCCUUUAGUGAGCAUUCCUCGUGGCCUAGCUUUGAUAGCUUCACGCAGCUGUCUCAGUAGGUCAGCAUAAUAUCGUCCAUUGAUAGUCUGACCAUGCGUCAAUAGUGGUCAAUCGUCGAUCAGCCAUCACCAUGUCAUGUACCGGGGUAAUGUAUUCUUGAAUGGUCGCUGUUUAUGACCUUCAAUGACGCGAAUCAUCGCCAAUGCUCUUUUUGCCACGUUUAAAUUCCACAGCCCACUGUGGAAAAGGAAGGGGCAUCUCCCCCUAAAGUGGAAACCAUGUCGGCACGUAUCUGUGUUGGGGUUAGUCCUUUCAGUUGCAGGUACUUGAUGACUUCCCUAUAGCCAGUUUUGUCCAUUUCUGGUGAUGUCAAUGAGCAGGUUCACAAACGUGUCUGGUACGAAAACAAUAAUAACACUACAGUUGGAGUUCUUAUGUCCUUGAUUCAUUCAAUGAUUGUACUUGUUUGUUCGUGGCAAAAGUUUAUUUCAACCCAACUGAUCUAUCCUUUUAAGGCUUAGAACUUUUCAGCCGACCCUCAUAUAUAUACUUUGUUGUAUCUACAUGAGAUCUUGUUUGAUAAAUACGUUAACUAAACUGUUUGAUUGGGGUGAGCUUAGAUUGGCAUAGCUUUUGUACUGUUGUAUUGGUUGUGUAAUUUAAUUAUAUGAGAAAAGACUAUGGAGUUGUACUGAUGCAAGUUAGUGCGGAAACAGUGGUGCGAAUGCUGAAGGUUGUAAUAUGAAAGUAGUUAUAUGUCGCAUGGAUGUACUGCGGGCGUGUCUGUGGCGAAGUGCCUCGGCUUUGAUAUAUAUAUUUAACAUUUCUCGCUUUGUAUAUAUUUCUUUUUUCUUCCCUGUUUGGUCAUAGUGUUGUGUUCUAAUUUUUUACUAUGUGGAAUGGUGCUCAAUUGUACAUAUGUAUUACUGCAAGGCGUCUGUUUUCGAAUUUAAGUUUUGUUAUACGCCCACGUUGAUUGUGGUCGUCUAUUGUCGCCUUGCCGAUCCGCUCGCCCGCCAGACAUUUCUAUAAACUACAUUUAUAAUCCAAUCUUUAAAUAUUUACAUUAUCCUGUUUGUAUUGGUGAGACAAAAAAGUCUACUGAAUUUCAGCAAGAGUUAUGGCCAUUAUUUUACUUUAUAGAACCUUGUGAACGCUUUAAAGACAAAAGUGAUCAUUCUAUCUGUAUAAAAUUUAUAUGUAUCAUUUAUAUUAGUAAACAAAACAAGCUUAUUUUAUUUCAACAGUUUCCGUUAAUUAAUUGCGCUUGUUUCACUUUGUAGAACCUUGUGAAUGUUUAAACGACAAACGGUAUCAUCCAAUAUGUAUUGAAUUUAUACACGUUAUUAAAUGUAGUAAAUCAUUUCUAGAAUUAUGGCCUUUGUUUCACAUUGUAGAAUCUUGAGAUCGCUCUGUAUGAAAUAUAUGUGCAUUAAUCGAAAAAUUCUGCCUGGUAGACUGCCGGACGACUUGCCCAUGCUGUUGACGUAUGUUUCGUUACCCAGCAACCUGUAGUUAAAUGACAGGUUUCAAUCUUGCAUAUUUUAAUUUAUUGUACAGUAUUCAAUUUGUAUAGUAGUUUUUUUUUAAUUACAUAGAUGUAUAUUUGAUCUAUUGUGUACGUUUACAUCAAACAUUAAAUAAUGUAAAAAAUAAAAGUUUUCUUAAUAACUGAA